rnacentral:rRNA from 1 species
AUACGGAGGGUGCGAGCGUUGUUCGGAAUUAUUGGGCGUAAAGCGUGCACAGGCGGUUGUGUAAGUCAGAUGUGAAAUCCCCGGGCUCAACCUGGGAACUGCAUUUGAGACUGCACGGCUAGAGUGUGACAGAGGGGGGUAGAAUUCCACGUGUAGCAGUGAAAUGCGUAGAGAUGUGGAGGAAUACCGAUGGCGAAGGCAGCCCCCUGGGUUACUACUGACGCUCAUGCACGAAAGCGUGGGGAGC